rnacentral:misc_RNA from 2 species
AACGCACAUUGCGCCCCUUGGUAUUCCAUGGGGCAUGCCUGUUCGAGCGUCAUUUGUACCCUCAAGCUCUGCUUGGUGUUGGGUGUUUGUCCACUCCCCCGUGUUUGGACUCGCCUUAAAGCAAUUGGCAGCCAGUGUUUUGGUAUUGAAGCGCAGCACAUUUUGCGUCUCUAGCCUAUAAAUACUGGCGUCCAGUAGGCCCAUUUUCCACUUUUGACCUCGGAUCAGGUAGGGAUACCCGCUGAACUUAA